rnacentral:rRNA from 1 species
AUUGAACGCUGGCGGCAGGCUUAACACAUGCAAGUCGAGCGGGGGAAGGUAGCUUGCUACCGGACCUAGCGGCGGACGGGUGAGUAAUGCUUAGGAAUCUGCCUAUUAGUGGGGGACAACAUCUCGAAAGGGAUGCUAAUACCGCAUACGUCCUACGGGAGAAAGCAGGGGAUCUUCGGACCUUGCGCUAAUAGAUGAGCCUAAGUCGGAUUAGCUAGUUGGUGGGGUAAAGGCCUACCAAGGCGACGAUCUGUAGCGGGUCUGAGAGGAUGAUCCGCCACACUGGGACUGAGGCACGGCCCAGACUCCUACGGGAGGCAGCAGUGGGGAAUAUUGGACAAUGGGGGGAACCCUGAUCCAGCCAUGCCGCGUGUGUGAAGAAGGCCUUAUGGUUGUAAAGCACUUUAAGCGAGGAGGAGGCUACUCUAGUUAAUACCUAGGGAUAGUGGACGUUACUCGCAGAAUGAGCACCGGCUAACUCUGUGCCAGCCGCCGCGGUAA